CAGCAGUGCAAAAAAUUAGAGCAAUAUGAGAACAAGCAGCAGAGGCUAGCUCCUGGCACCAAGUGUCCUGGGGAGUGUUUGCAGUACAUUGAGUUGCCUUUCUUUGUCCUCAUCCUGGCUUCCAGGUCUCUGAGUGGGCGGAGAGUGUCCUUACCCCAAGUGGCCUUGCUCAAAUCAUUGUCCAGCCUGAACUUUCAGUCAUACUGACAACCAAGUAAAGAGCCACUUGCUUGCUGCCUAAUGAUAUUUGGCUUGGCUGUGUUGUAGCCUCUCUGGAGUCUGGUUCAAACCAACCUGUCUGAAGGUGCAGUGAGUCUGGGAAGAGGCUGGGAAACUGCAGUGUGAAAGGGCUUUCACAGGGAUGAGGAGGGGGGACCCUCACAGAACACAAGAAAAACCAGCUGCUGCUGGCCAGCAUUAUAAGCCACCUCCUCCCUGCAGUCCCACAGUAAUCUGGCCUGCAUCCAGAAAAGGCAGAAGACUCUUCCUGAAGGUGGUAACUGUUGGUCUUGUCUGUGUCAAGCUUAAAGUUGGUAGGAAAAGAUUCUUCUAGCAAAUAAACAUGUAGCGAAAGGGAAGAGCAGUCAGUGGGAAAGGGCCUCUCAUCUCACUGCACAGGAUAAGAAGGGGAUAGGAGGAAGUGGCUGUUUGACUGAGGGGCACCCUGGUAACAUGGAACUAAGGAAACAGUUAUUUUUCUUGGAAAUAAAUGAAGAAAUGGCUCCUUCCAGGCAGAGCGGCAUGGAUCUAUAAUUCCAGUGGCUUGGGAAGUUAAGACAGGAGGAUCACAAGUUCAAG
rnacentral:lncRNA from 1 species